rnacentral:rRNA from 1 species
AUGCGAAGGGUGCAAGCGUUACUCGGAAUUACUGGGCGUAAAGCGUGCGUAGGUGGUUGUUUAAGUCUGUCGUGAAAGCCCUGGGCUCAACCUGGGAAUGGCGAUGGAAACUGGGCGACUAGAGUGUGGCAGAGGGUAGUGGAAUUCCUGGUGUAGCAGUGAAAUGCGUUGAGAUCAGGAGGAACAUCCGUGGCGAAGGCGACUGCCUGGUCCAACACUGACACUGAGGCACGAAAUCGUGGGGAGCAAACAGGAUUAGAUACCCUGGUAGUCCACGCCCUAAACGAUGCGGACUGGAUGUUGGGUGCAAUUUGGCACGCAGUAUCGAAGCUAACGCGUUAAGUUCGCCGCCUGGGGAGUACGGUCGCAAGAUUGAAACUCAAAGGAAUUGGCGGGG